CAAGUAGCCAAACUUCUUGACAUAUCGCAUAUGAAUCUCUGCAUUUGGUCGCUUAAAGAAGGCUGUUUUGAAGUAGUUUUCUCGAUUCCUGAAGUUACGUAUAAGAAUUGCUUAAGGGCAUUGGAAAACAUGACCUUAUGAGCCAUUAGGACUGAAAUUCAAAUCAGUGCAUUACUCAGAUGUAGAUGUUCAUGUACAUACUUUGAGUGCUAAAUCUGAUGAGGAAGAUAUAUCAUUCCCUGAUACAAAAGAACAAACUAUCAGUUACCCAACUGAUAAAGUACAAGUCUUAUCUUUACUUGUGAAUCACACAGGAAAGGGUCAAACCAAAAGCAAAAACAACAUACAUGUAACUGAUGAUACACUAUGGACACCUGAAACAUCUGAUGGAGCAAGAAAGCAACGAUUGUGUUCAAAUAAUUACAAAGACGAAGAUAACCCUUUUGAUAUCAUAGGAACAGAUUUAUCAGACAGAAUGAGUGAACAAAAUGAGGUAGACAUUGAACUGGACUAUAUUGUACAGUCAGGUCGCAUAAGAGGAAAACGGCCAC